CCUACGGGUGGCAGCAGUGAGGAAUAUUGGUCAAUGGCCGAGAGUCUGAACCAGCCAAGUAGCGUGAAGGAUGACUGCCCUAUGGGUUGUAAACUUCUUUUAUAUGGGAAUAAAACGUUCCACGUGUGGGAUUUUGUAUGUACCAUAUGAAUAAGGAUCGGCUAACUCCGUGCCAGCAGCCGCGGUAAUACGGAGGAUCCGAGCGUUAUCCGGAUUUAUUGGGUUUAAAGGGAGCGUAGGUGGAUUGUUAAGUCAGUUGUGAAAGUUUGCGGCUCAACCGUAAAAUUGCAGUUGAAACUGGCAGUCUUGAGUACAGUAGAGGUGGGCGGAAUUCGUGGUGUAGCGGUGAAAUGCUUAGAUAUCACGAAGAACUCCGAUUGCGAAGGCAGUUCACUGGACUGCAACUGACACUGAGGCUCGAAAGUGUGGGUAUCAAACAGGAUUAGAUACCCCUGUAGUC
rnacentral:rRNA from 1 species